rnacentral:rRNA from 1 species
AUACGUAGGUGGCAAGCGUUGUCCGGAAUUAUUGGGCGUAAAGCGCGCGCAGGCGGUCCUUUAAGUCUGAUGUGAAAGCCCACGGCUCAACCGUGGAGGGUCAUUGGAAACUGGGGGACUUGAGUGCAGGAGAGAAGAGUGGAAUUCCACGUGUAGCGGUGAAAUGCGUAGAGAUGUGGAGGAACACCAGUGGCGAAGGCGACUCUUUGGCCUGUAACUGACGCUGAGGCGCGAAAGCGUGGGGAGCAAACAGGAUUAGAUACCCUGGUAGUCCACGCCGUAAACGAUGAGUGCUAAGUGUUAGAGGGUUUCCGCCCUUUAGUGCUGCAGUAAACGCAUUAAGCACUCCGCCUGGGGAGUACGGCCGCAAGGCUGAAACUCAAAUGAAUUGACGGGG